GGCUGGAGGGUUUUUGGCUAAGGCGGCGGUCUGCAAAACCGCUAUUCCCCGGUUCGAAUCCGGGUGUCGCCU
rnacentral:tRNA from 1 species